rnacentral:lncRNA from 1 species
UCACAUCCGUCUGCGUCCUCCUGCAGGUCCUCCUGAAGCAGCGAGAGGUCUGCGCCGAGGGGAGAGAAGAAAGGCCCGGACCGGCCUCGCCCACCGCCCUGCCAGCCGCAGCCAUCUCGGCGGGCGCGCCGCUCGCAGCCAGCGCCCCAUCCCCAGGCCUGCACGCUGACAAAGUCAUGCCUGCCUAGCCAGCUUCCUCGUGCAGCACGGUGAAGGCUGGGGCGCCGGGUUUUUACUCCCACGUCCUGCCAACUCGAGCUGACAAGGCGGGCAAUCCACCAGCGGGAGCGUUGGCAGGCCCGGGGUCAGAUCCUGAUUCAGCCAGUUAAUUGGUCGUGGAUGGCAGAGCUGUGUGUUGUCCGUGGUCAGACACACAGGAAGUCUGAAUUGUUAUCCUGUUCUGCCACUGAAAUGUGUAAAAUAUAGGGGGAGUGUCCCAAGUCAUUUUCCUAAAAGCAUCAUCCAACUAUGAGCUGAACACUGCCCCGAGAAUGCAACAGAACUUCAGCUCUGUCCCAAGGUCGUCAGCCACAGCUCCAAGUUUCUUAGCAUCAGCUUUUUCUGAACAAAAUAGUGCAUCCUGCUGGAAUCACUACUGUAAACUGAGUAUAAAGGAAAAUAAACCCUCUUUUUCUUA